rnacentral:rRNA from 1 species
GAUGAACGCUGGCGGCGUGCCUAAUACAUGCAAGUCGAGCGAACAGACGAGGAGCUUGCUCCUCUGACGUUAGCGGCGGACGGGUGAGUAACACGUGGAUAACCUACCUAUAAGACUGGGAUAACUUCGGGAAACCGGAGCUAAUACCGGAUAAUAUAUUGAACCGCAUGGUUCAAUAGUGAAAGACGGUUUUGCUGUCACUUAUAGAUGGAUCCGCGCCGCUUUAGCUAGUUGGUAAGGUAACGGCUUACCAAGGCAACGAUGCGUAGCCGACCUGAGAGGGGGGUCGGCCACACUGGAACUGAGCCACGGUCCAGACUCCUGCGGGAGGCAGCAGUAGGGAAUCUGCCGCAAUGGGCGAAAGCCUGACGGAGCAACGCCGCGUGAGUGAUGAAGGUCUUCGGAUCGUAAAACUCUGUUAUGAGGGAAGAACAAAUGUGUAAGUAACUAUGCACGUCUUGACGGUACCGAGUCAGAAAGCCACGGCUAACUACGUG